rnacentral:rRNA from 1 species
GUCGAGAAUCUUUCACAAUGGGGGCAACCCUGAUGGAGCGACGCCGCGUGGAGGAUAAGGUCUUCGGAUUGUAAACUCCUGUCAUGCGUGAACAAGGUUGCUUGGAUAAUACCUGAGCAAAUUGAUGGUAGCGCAAGAGGAAGAGACGGCUAACUCUGUGCCAGCAGCCGCGGUAAUACAGAGGUCUCAAGCGUUGUUCGGAAUCACUGGGCGUAAAGGGUGCGUAGGUGGCGUGGCAAGUCAGAUGUGAAAGCCCAGGGCUCAACCUCGGAACUGCAUCCGAUACUGCCAUGCUAGAGUACUGGAGGGGUGACUAGAAUUCUCGGUGUAGCAGUGAAAUGCGUAGAUAUCGAGAGGAAUACCAAAGGCGUAGGCAGGUCACUGGACAGUUACUGACACUGAGGCACGAAGGCCAGGGGAGCGAACGGGAUUAGAAACCCGAGUAGUCC